GACAGAGGGUGCAAGCGUUGUUCGGAAUUACUGGGCGUAAAGCGUGUGUAGGCGGUCCGCUAAGUCGGGUGUGAAAGCCCUGGGCUCAACCCAGGAAGUGCACUCGAAACUGGCGGGCUAGAGUACUGGAGAGGUUGGUGGAAUUCUCGGUGUAGAGGUGAAAUUCGUAGAUAUCGAGAGGAACACCGGUGGCGAAGGCGGCCAACUGGACAGAUACUGACGCUGAGACACGAAAGCGUGGGGAGCAAACAGG
rnacentral:rRNA from 1 species